rnacentral:lncRNA from 1 species
GAAGUUCAAAAUACACCUUGAAAUAAUUUUUAAAGUUUCAAAUAACAGCAUGAAAACUAGACAGUUCUCAGUAUUUAUGUGUGGUUGUUCUUGUAAAACAGAAACUGUAUAUAAUUUGAGAGAAGAGAAUAGACAACUAAGAAAAGCACACCAAGACAUUCACACACAGCUUCAAGACGUCAAGGUAAGAUGAAUCAGACAUUUGGCUCGGGGGCUUCUGUCUCCUUUACUAUGCAGAAUGGCUUCAGAAGUCAUUCCAGGGAGCUGGAAAGAUGCCUGAGAGACUGAGUGCUUGCUGCUGGUGCAGAGAAACCACAUUUGGCUCCUAGUGCGAUAGCUCACCACCACCUGUAACUCCAACUCCAGGGAAUCUAAUGUCCUUGUUGAUCCCCUGCGGAUACUGCACCCACAUGCAUACCCCUUGAGCAACCCACAAAAACACACAUACUCGAACACACAAGUACACAUACUCGCACACACAAACACACACACACAAAAUUAAAAACAUUGAAAUAAAGAUUUUUCUUUUCAAAAAUUGAUUCCUUAAUUGAUCUGCUUUGCGAGCUCAUCACCAACUUGGACUUUGCCUUCCUGGAGUACACUUGAUACUUUUACCACUUUGGUAUCAUAAACGACAGGUUUCCUGGGACAUGUAAAUAUUUCUGUUGAUACCGAACUCAUUAUGUUGUUGGAUGAUUACACUGUGAGAUGGUUUUUACUUACAGAGGUAACUACUAAUGAAAGGUUUAGCUGGGUAGCGAGGCAGCAGUUUUGAGAGAUUUUUUAGAAUCCUCCAUAAAUCCUGUCUACCUCCAGUAAUUUUUGGAUUGAACAAAUGCUGCUUUCACUUCCAUCAAGUGAGCAAGUAACAUUUGGGUGGCCACACCAAAGAGGCUUAUUUCGUGACGUUAAUUUAGCUCACCAUGUAAACUUCUCUUUUGUGUAGCAACAGCAUAAGAAUUUACUCUCCGAGCAUGAACAGCUUGUAGUGACUUUGGAAGACCACAAGAGUGCACUGGCUGCUGCGCAGGUUAGGAGGGAGCAGCCUUUGUUGGGUCCUUUGAAGUCUGCUGACUAUUUCUGAAUCCCUUCAUGCAUGUCGUUUCUGACAACUCAGUCUUCAGGGAGUUAUGGCAGCACUCCUAAUCCCGGGGAUAUGCAUGCUUUUCAAAUCACCAAAGAGACUACUAAAUAAACUCUUCAUUGCUUAUUAUACAUGACUGCAUCUGCCUCUGCUACGCCCUACACGAACAAUUCUGAUACUUAACUCACUGUGAAUCUGGCCUUCUGCAUCUCUCUGGCCUGUAUCAACUCUUGGUACAGUAGGUAUAGGGUUUGUGAUGCUGACUCCCAGACACUGUCUUCUCUCCUCCCCUUAUUCCCAGUAUCCCAGCCCAUAGGCAUACUCCUUUUGGGAUAAUGUUUAUACAGGGCGGUUCAUACUACAGAAAAGCAGACGGGUCAGGGGAGAAGAAAAUCGAGAGUCACAAUCUCCAUUUGUUCAGAGAAUACAAUAGCCCCUGGCAUAAGCCACUCUCUUGGUAUAUGUCUGUUAAAUGAAUAAACAGUCAAAUCCAAGCUGUGGAGAGCUUGGCAAGGUGAUAUCCAGAUGAGUACAUUACAGCUGGAGACCCAGAGAAAUAGGACUGCCUGCUUACUUGGUUCGGGUUCAAAAAAUUAUUCAGAGCUGUAAUGCAUUGGGCUCAUGUCUAUUUGCAUCUCUCUCAGUGACUUCUGUUUGCAUUUUGGGGACUAGAGUGUUUGUCUGUUUUUACAUUAUAAAAAAUCCACUUGCUUUGUAGUUUUCUAAGUGCAUUCUCACAUGAUAUUUCUCUUUAACAUUUUAAGUUAUUCCUUGAUACAUUUCAUACAUAUAUACAAUAUAUGAUGAUAGUCAUUUCAGCAUUUCCCAUACAUAUCGCUUGAGCCACCAACCCAUCCCACUCCCAACAUCAUGUCCCCUCUCCAAUUUGCUGCCUAUAUGGACUCAGGCAUGGGUCCAUACACUGGAGCACCGGAAACCUAACUGUGGCCACAAUCACAGAGAAACAUGAUUAUCCUCCUUCUGGCUGCCAUCAACCACCCAUAGCUUCCUCAGCUAGGGAUAGGGCCUUGUGAAUUGCCCCUCCUUGGGGACCUUUGCCAAUUGGGGUCUGUCUAUUUCUCAAUUGACCAUGGUUAUUUUUACCUGUAUGUGAACUGAUUAUUUCUAAGCACUGGUGCAUUCCAAAUCUCAAGGUUUGCCAAGUGUUAUUUUAUGUGAGGUUCACACAGUGAGAUGUGGUCAGCUGAUUAGAACACUGUCCUGCAAUAGCCAUAGAUAAUACAAUAAGCAAACAUCUGAAAAAGCGCAGAACUAGGAUUAAAAUCAUUUCUUUAAUGACCCAAACCAAAUCUGAAGUCGCACAUUUGCAGCACUGCUGAGCCAGCUUUUGAGGCUUCUGUCAUUAAUCUAUGCAUGGUUGUGUGUACAUGUGUAUCAGUAGAACCCUGAAGGUCAACUGCAAGGGUCAACUCCUCAGGACAUCCUCCACUUUGAGACAGUCCCUCACUGGGCUGGAUCUCCCUGAUUCCAGUGAUCCCCAGGAAUACACCUCAUUUCCCUUCUCUAGCCCUGAAAGAAUUUAUAG